rnacentral:lncRNA from 1 species
CAUGGUGCUUUUAUCAAUCUGAUUUAUUUCGUACCUUUCGUUCAAUGAGAAAAUGGGUCAAAUUCUACAGGAUCAAACCUAUGGGACUUAAGGAAUGAUAUAAAAAUGGUGCUUUUAUCAAUCUGAUUUAUUUCGUACCUUUCGUUCAAUGAGAAAAUGGGUCAAAUUCUACAGGAUCAAACCUACGAGACUUAAGGAAUGAUAUAAAAAAAAGAGAAAGAAAAUAUUCAUAUUAAAUAAAUAUGAAGUAGAAGAACCCAGAUUCCAAAUGAACAAAUUCAAACUUGAAAAGGAUCUUCCUUAUUCUUGAAGAAUGAGGGGUAAAGGGAUUGAUCAAGAAAGAUCUUUUGUUCUUCUUAUAUAUAAGA